GUUAUAUAUAUGCUUAAAUGUUGAGCAUUUGAAAAAAAAAGCUCUCGCAAAGGUCAGACUGCACAAGUGGGAUACUGCCAAUUUUUGAGGGGUAAAAGCAAACGGAGAAAGCAGAGCAAAGCCGCCAAGAAGUUAUAACGAGUAAUAUUGCAAAGCAAUGUUGCGACGCUUUUUUUCUGUGGACUCUGCAAGUCUCGUCUUGACUGGGGGGCCCUCAGCGGUAACUCGGCUAUCUAUAUAAUCACCACUGGUGGCGACAGUGUCGCUCCAAAAUUCGUUUUUUCCCUUAUCCCACUCUCUAAUGUGAGCGGUUUUACUAAGUCUAUU